AUAUUGUUGGAGAAGAGAAUCAUGGAGAUAUUUUAGAUGCAAUGAAUCCAACAAUUGCAAUAAAACAGCAUGCCUACAGAAACUCUGUACGAUAACAUGUUCCCUUAAAAUCUGAAAGCUUCCCCUGAGAAAAAGAGGAAGGCACUGUCAGAGACCCCAUGCCUUCUGAUCACCAAGAGCUCCUAGCCCCUGCUGGAGGUGGUCACCUCCCCAGGGAAGGAGAGCAGGCUGGGAUGCUGCUUUUAUGUGGUGAAGAAAUGUUAGUUGCUUGCUGGCCAAGGGGUUGAGGAAGUGAGUAUUGUGGUUAACUUGUGGAAGCUCACAGAAUUGCCUCAAAACCUGUCUAGUCUCCUGCCUUGUCUUCCCCCAGCUAUCAAGGUCCAAUGUAGCUGAUUCCAAUGAAACAGUUGGUUGCAGUGCCAGAGCUGCUGUAGUUUCUUCACUGUCUGAAGUAAUUCUAGAACAGAACUAAAAUGAUUUGACCCAUGCUGCGCUGUUCUGUCAUUUGACUGUGGAAUCCGAUUAGGACUGAAUUCAGCUGUGGUUAUCUAUCUAGCAAACUAUGUGUGUGCUUUGGGAAGGUGCCUGGGGCGAAAAGGUAGUGUAUGUGUUCUCCUGUGAUGGACAGGGCUAUCUAGACAGGAGUUCUAGAGACAAAAAUUACCCAACUCACACAGAAACAGCAACGAUGUGCUAAUUUAAACAUCCUGGACUGACAAGAGCAUAUUGUUUAAAAUUCAUCCUGACAGAAAAAUGUGGAAAACUCUGAAUUCUCCAGGGAAAUUUUUCAUAAUUUCUAAGUUAUUUUAUUCAUUAUCCCUCUGAUAUUCAAAUGAAAAAAAA